rnacentral:lncRNA from 1 species
GUGUCUUACAAUAAUAUACAAAAAGGAAUCGGUUUAGGCGGAUUCGACUCAUUACUGUUCUAAGGAGCCGAUUCAUAGAACCGAGCCGACUCGAUUCGACCUUAACCAGGCAAGCAACGGCUCUUCUAAUUUGAAAUCAACCUGUCGCCUUUUCUUCCAGUGAAUUCAUCCUCGUAGCGAUGCAGUGGCACAGUAGUAGUGCUGUCGCCUCACAGCAAGAAGGUUGCUGGUUCGAGCCUCGGCUGGGUCAGUUGGCUGAAUACAAUGGCAUAAUGAUUCUGCUUGCUCACAGGAGCUCAGAUUGUGAUGGACCUGGAAUGCGACACCAGUUACUCUUAAGUCAAGAACCAAAUAAAGCACAGAUGUGGAGGGAUCUGCAACUAAACUAACUGGAGGAAAGGAACCUUUAGGUAAAAACACC